CCGGCCGCCGGCUCCGCCCCG
rnacentral:miRNA from 1 species